CUGUGGGCUGGGCUGGGAAGCAGCUUUCAUCCCAGCCUCCUGCUCAGCCCCGCCCACCCCA
ensembl:miRNA Mir3620 microRNA 3620